AGGGGAUUUUCCACAAUGGACGAAAGUCUGAUGGAGCAACGCCGCGUGAACGAUGAAGGCUCUCGGGUCGUAAAGUUCUGUUGUUAGGGACGAACAAGUGCCGUUCGAAUAGGGCGGCGCCUUGACGGUACCUAACGAGAAAGCCACGGCUAACUACGUGCCAGCAGCCGCAGUAAUACGUAGGUGGCAAGCGUUGUCCGGAAUUAUUGGGCGUAAAGCGCGCGCAGGCGGUUAUGUAAGUCUGAUGUUAAAGCCCGGGGCUCAACCUCGGUCCGCAUUGGAAACUGUGUAACUUGAGUGCAGAAGAGGAAAGUGGUAUUCCACGUGUAGCGGUGAAAUGCGUAGAGAUGUGGAGGAACACCAGUGGCGAAGGCGACUUUCUGGUCUGUAACUGACGCUGAGGCGCGAAAGCGUGGGGAGCAAAC
rnacentral:rRNA from 1 species